rnacentral:lncRNA from 1 species
AAACCCAAAGUUUGAGUUUGAGAGUUUUUACUUUUGAGACCACAACAGCUAAAAUCCAAAAUCAUAACAUAGCUUCACAACCUAAAAUCACAAUCGAAAUUGGGAAAAAGUUCAUAAUCUCAACAAAAAACCAUCCAAAAAAUUACUAAAUAUAUCAAUUUUAGAAUUUUAAAUCCACAACAAUGAAAGAGAUAUUUGAGUACAUACCUUUUGAUGGAGAGUUUUUACUUUUAAGAGCACAACAACCAAAAUCCAAAAUGAUAAUAUAACUUCACAAUCUAAAUGCACAAUCAAAAUUGGGAAAAAGUGCAUAAUUUCAACAUAAACCCAUCCUCCAAAUAGUUACUAAUUUGUCAACAAUGGAUUACCUUGUGCUGCAAGUAACAAUCCCACAUAAAGCCAGAAAUUAUGAACUAGUUUGGAAAUAUACCAACAAUGGCUCUCUAAGCUUGAAGGAUGCCUACAACUUUAAGUCUCAUCAUCUCCAAGAGGUUAGAUAGGGCAAGAUCUUGUGGUCCAUUCAUAUUCCUCCUUCAAAAUCUCUGCUUUCUUGAAGGUUGAUGCAAGAGGUUAAGGCAACCAAGAGUGAAGAGUUUAGCCUUACCUAUAAUCUUGGUGUGCUAGAACUAUGAAUCAAUUCCUUUGUCUAUGUGCAAAUGACAAAAAGUUUGAGAGAUCACAUUUUUCGAACUAUGUUUCCUAGAUUUUUGAGAAAUCAAACACUCAUUGAAAUUAAACAUAUAAAUUACUACGAAUUAAACCAGCUCAAUUUGUGAUUAU